UAUCUCUGUAGAGUCUGCAUAUCAAUAAGCGGAGGAAAAGAAACUAACAAGGAUUCCCCUAGUAACGGCGAGUGAGGCGGGAAGAGCUCAAAUUUGAAGUCUUCAAGGUUUGACCUUGACGAAUUGUAGUUUAAAGAAGUGUUUUCGGUUAGAGGAGUAGUAAAAGUUCUUUGGAAUAGGACAUCAUAGAGGGUGAGAAUCCCGUAUUUGACUAUUCUUUCUAGCUUUGUGAUACACUUUCAAAGAGUCGGAUUGUUUGGGAAUGCAGUCCAAAAUGGGUGGUAAAUUUCAUCUAAAGCUAAAUAUUGGCGAGAGACCGAUAGCGAACAAGUACCGUGAGGGAAAGAUGAAAAGAACUUUGAAAAGAGAGUUAAACAGGUACGUGAAAUUGUCAAAAGGGAAGCGUUUGACACCAGUGUUGUUUUUCCGAAAAUCAAUUAAAAAUUGAUUCAUGCCAGGUUGUAUUGACCUUAUCAGCUUGCAAUUUGGUUUUGGGUCUCUUUUUGAUGCACUUUUCGGUUAACAAGUCAACAUCAAUUUCCUUUACUGUAAAAAGGUAAGAGGAAGGUGGCUUCAAUUUCGGUUGAAGUGUUUAUAGCCUUUUAUCUCUGCAGUCGGGGAGAUUGAGGUCUGCAGCGUAGAUCCUUCGGGGCUAGAUACAUUUAUGCUAAGUUAUAGCUUUUCAUAGACAACUUGUUGACUAUGUUUAGUCAUGUAGCUUACUCGUAAGUGCUAUUUUACCUACGCUUAGGAUGUUGAAGACUCUACAGAGAUA
rnacentral:rRNA from 1 species